rnacentral:rRNA from 1 species
CCUGAGUGUUGUGGCGGCCCGUACCCUAAACCGACUCAGGUGGUCAGGUAGAGAAUACCAAGGCGAUCGGGUGAACUGUGGUUAAGGAACUCGGCAAAUUGCCCCCGUAACUUCGGGAGAAGGGGGACCUCUGUUGGUGAUGGGCUUUACGCCUGGAGCUGGUGGGGGUCGCAGUGGCCAGGGGGAAGCGACUGUUUACUAAAAACACAGGUCCGUGCGAAGUCGUAAGACGAUGUAUACGGACUGACGCCUGCCCGGUGCCGGAACGUUAAGGGGACCGCUUAGCCGACGUAAGUUGGCGAAGGUGAGAACUUAAGCGCCGGUAAACGGCGGUGGUAACUAUAACCAUCCUAAGGUAGCGAAAUUCCUUGUCGGGUAAGUUCCGACCUGCACGAGUGGCGUAACGACUUCCCCGCUGUCUCAACCGCAGACCCGGCGAAAUUGCACUACGAGUAAAGAUGCUCGUUUCGCGCAGCAGGACGGAAAGACCCCGGGACCUUCACUACAGCUUGACAUUGGCGUUUGGAACGUCUUGUGUAGGAUAGGUGGGAGACUAGGAAGCUGUCACGCUAGUGAUGGUGGAGUCAUUGGUGAAAUACCACUCUGGUCGUUUUGAACGUCUAACUCUGGUCCGUGAUCCGGAUCGGGGACAGUGUCUGGUGGGUAGUUUAACUGGGGCGGUUGCCUCCUAAAGAGUAACGGAGGCGCCCAAAGGUUCCCUCAGCCUGGUUGGCAAUCAGGUGUUGAGUGUAAGUGCACAAGGGAGCUUGACUGUGAGACUGACAGGUCGAGCAGGAGCGAAAGCUGGGACUAGUGAUCCGGCAUCGGCGUGUGGAAGCGGUGUCGCUCAACGGCUAAAAGGUACCCCGGGGAUAACAGGCUGAUCUUCCCCAAGAGUCCAUAUCGACGGGAUGGUUUGGCACCUCGAUGUCGGCUCGUCGCAUCCUGGGGCUGGAGUAGUCCCAAGGGUUGGGCUGUUCGCCCAUUAAAGCGGUACGCGAGCUGGGUUUAGAACGUCGCGAGACAGUUCGGUCCCUAUCCGCUGCGCGCGCAGGAGACUUGAAGGGGGCUGUCCCUAGUACGAGAGGACCGGGACGGACGAACCUCUGGUGUGCCAGUUGUACCGCCAGGUGCACGGCUGGUUGGCUACGUUCGGAAGGGAUAACCGCUGAAAGCAUCUAAGCGGGAAGCUCGCCUUGAGAUGAGGUCUCCCACCACGAGAGUGGGUAAGGCUCCCGGUAGACGACCGGGUUGAUAGGCCGGAGGUGGAAGCACGGUAACGUGUGGAGCUGACCGGUACUAAUAGGCCGAGGACUUGAUC